rnacentral:rRNA from 1 species
CAGCCGCCGCGGUAAUACGAAGGGUGCAAGCGUUAAUCGGAAUUAUUGGGCGUAAAGCGUGCGUAGGCGGUUUGUUAAGUCCGUUGUGAAAUCUAUGGGCUCAACCCAUAGUCUGCACAGGAAACUGUCGGGCUUGAGAGUGGGAGAGGUGAGUGGAAUUUCCGGUGUAGCGGUGAAAUGCGUAGAUAUCGGAAGGAACACCUGUGGCGAAAGCGGCUCACUGGACCAUUUCUGACGCUGAUGCACGAAAGCUAGGGGAGCAAACAGGAUUAGAUACCCGAGUAGUCCCUGUCUCUUAUAA